AAAUCUGAUUCGUGAAAGUGUGUAUUUACUGAUUCGUGAAAGUGUGUUAAAUACACACUUUCACGAAUCAGUAAAUACACACUUUCGCGAAUCAGUA
rnacentral:pre_miRNA from 1 species